rnacentral:misc_RNA from 1 species
GAAAUGCGAUAAGUAAUGUGAAUUGCAGAAUUCAGUGAAUCAUCGAAUCUUUGAACGCACCUUGCGCUCCUUGGUAUUCCGAGGAGCAUGCCUGUUUGAGUGUCAUGAAAUUCUCAAACCCAUAAGUCUUUGCGGGCUUACGGGCUUUGGACUUGGAGGCUUGUCGGCGACCGUGAGGUCACAUCGACUCCUCUCAAAUGCAUUAGCUUGAUUCCUUGCGGAUCGGCUCUCGGUGUGAUAAUUGUCUACGCCGUGACCGUGAAGCGUUUUGGCAAGCUUCUAACCGUCUCUAACGAGACAGCUUACUUUGACCUCUGACCUCAAAUCAGGUAGGACUACCCGCUGAACUUAA